rnacentral:rRNA from 1 species
AUUGAACGCUGGCGGCAUGCCUUACACAUGCAAGUCGAACGGCAGCACGGGUGCUUGCACCUGGUGGCGAGUGGCGAACGGGUGAGUAAUACAUCGGAACAUGUCCUGUAGUGGGGGAUAGCCCGGCGAAAGCCGGAUUAAUACCGCAUACGAUCUACGGAUGAAAGCGGGGGACCUUCGGGCCUCGCGCUAUAGGGUUGGCCGAUGGCUGAUUAGCUAGUUGGUGGGGUAAAGGCCUACCAAGGCGACGAUCAGUAGCUGGUCUGAGAGGACGACCAGCCACACUGGGACUGAGACACGGCCCAGACUCCUACGGGAGGCAGCAGUGGGGAAUUUUGGACAAUGGGCGAAAGCCUGAUCCAGCAAUGCCGCGUGUGUGAAGAAGGCCUUCGGGUUGUAAAGCACUUUUGUCCGGAAAGAAAUCCUUGGCCCUAAUACGGUCGGGGGAUGACGGUACUGGAAGAAUAAGCACCGGCUAACUACGUG